rnacentral:tRNA from 1 species
AAUUAUAUAUUCUAAUUUAUAGGAUAUUGAAUUGCAAGUUCAAAGGAAAAAUGCAUUAUUUUUAUAAUUU